GUAUAAUAUUACACAGCGCCCCUCUGUGGUGGUUUAAGGAAAUCAUUCCAGUGAGAAACGCCCCCUUUUUUUUUUUUCAGGGCUGUCAAUGUCACCUGACUAAGGUCGAAGGUCAGAGCCGCCAUCUUGUUUCCCCAUGUUGUGUGUGUGAGACAUGUGCUGGACAAACAUGUCCUUCUGAAGCUCUGCAGCGUCCUUGUUGAGCCUCCAAGAAGCUUCUUCAAGAGGUCCAGGGAGCCACAAGGGCGGCGCCAAAGACGCGGGUCGCCUACGCCCGAGACUGGCCGGCAGUUCAUGGCAGGACACAUGAACUCAAAUCAGAGAAAGCAGCAUCUCCUCAUCCAGAAACAACACCAGAAAUGUGUCCCGUGAAAAACCAUCCAACCAGAACUCUAAUAACUAAAGUUCCUUGGAAAUGGCAACAGUGGAGGACGGAUUUCAAGAACAAGAAGAUGGAGACAAAGAAGAAGCUUAUUGACUACGGUGUCGGCACGGACUACAAAGGCGGAUCUGCACACAUUUUCAGGACUUGCUCAGAUCCCAAAUACAGAUCAGCAGGUACCA